UUUUUUGUUACAUGAUGAUGCAGCAGUCACCUUGAAAUUAAAUAUAACCUGAUAAAAUGGCAAAAAUCUAAUUUGAUCUGUACAAAACUGUAUUCUUUUAGUGAUACUUAAGUUGGAUUUUCAUAAUCAAAAUGUAUGGUAAUUAUUUUAAGUCAAAUAAGCCAUGAUUUUUUAAUUUGGCCGGUGAAAAAUAUUUUUGGCCGGUAAAUUUUUGGAGGUCACUAGCCAAUGACAGAUGAGG